rnacentral:ncRNA from 1 species
AAAAAGUUUUAUUUUGGCUUAAAAAUUAAAUGUUAUUUUUUAUUAUAUGUAAAUUUUUUUAAAGAAGAUAUUUGCAGUAAUUUAUUUUGGUAAUUUAAGUAAUUAAGAAUUAGGGAUAAUAAAAAAUAUAAACAAAAUUUGUGCCAGCAGUUGCGGUUAUACAAAUUAUAUAUUUUAAUUUUUUUAAUUUUAAUUAAUUAGUUUUAAAAUUUUAAUUUUAAAUUUAAAUGGUGAAAUUUUAAAUUUAUAAAAAUAUUUAUUUUUGAUAAUGAUUUAAAAAAUUUUAAUAAUAAACUAGGAUUAGAUACCCUAUUAUUUAAAAUGUUUCUGAUGAAUUAAAUUAUUAUUAGUUAUGUUCUUGAAAAUUAAAAAUUUUGGCGGUAUUUUAGUCUAUUCAGAGGAACCUGUUUUAUAAAUGAUAAUCCACGAUUUAAUUUACUUUUUUUAUAUUUACAUAUCGUCGUAAUUUAAAUAUUUUUAUAGGAAUUCAAUAUUUAAGAUUUUUAUUAAAAAAUAUAUCAGAUCAAGGUGUAGUUUAUGGGAAAGAAAAAAUGGGUUACAUUAAAUUUAUUUUAGGAUUUUUAUUAUUAAUAAUAUAUUGAAUUUGGAUUUGAUAGUAAUUUUAAUUAAUUUAUUAAAAUGAUUAAAGCUCUAAAAUAUGUACAUAUUGCCCGUCGCUUUCAUUUAAGAUGAAAUAAGUCGUAACAAAGUAGGUUUACUGGAAAGUGAGUCUAGAAUCAA